rnacentral:lncRNA from 1 species
AUGGCCAUGGGCUUAAGGACUCAAUCUUUCGAUCACCAUAGGACUACUCUUCUCAUCUAUCGAGGUUGAUAGAUCCCAUCUUGAUGCGAUCUGGUUCCUACAAUGGAUAUGCUACAGCCAACAUACACCUCAGGGUUCUGAAUGGCUAGGAGAUCGAGUUAUGGUAUAGUCAAACUAUAACACACUCAAGGUAAACCAUCGAUGCACCUC